rnacentral:rRNA from 1 species
UACGUAGGGGGCGAGCGUUGUCCGAAGUUACUGGGCGUAAAGAGCGCGUAGGCGGGUCUUUAAGUGAGUGGUGAAAGGUUCGGGCUCAACCCGGACACUGCCUUUCAUACUGGGGACCUUGAGUGCGGGAGGGGCGAGUGGAAUGGUCGGUGUAGCGGUGAAAUGCGUAGAUAUCGAUCGGAACACCCAUGGCGAAGGCAGCUCGCUGGCCUGCAACUGACGCUGAGGCACGAAAGCGUGGGGAGCAAACAGG